CCACAAAGAGUUGUUCAUAACAGUGUAUGAUAGUAUUUACUUUAAUUAUUUAAUUAAACCAGCUUAUUUGCAACGAAUAUAACCUCUGAUUGUUAUUAAAAAUAAAUAUUUGUAUGUACAACCAAAGUUGGGUACGUCAGACCGCGUAUAACUUGAGAAUGGAUGGUCCAGGUCCACUGUGAGCUAUUUUUCUAUUGUUUUUUUUUAGGGAUAUGAAGAAAAUAUUUGUUUUUUAUUAAUCAGCCCUAUUCUGCAUUUCGAUUACGUUCCCGCAUUCUGCUCCGCUACAAUCGUAAUUUGGUAUUCUAAGUUACGAUCGAAUCGAAAGAAGAAUAGGAAGAGCGAAAACAUCUUCCAAAUCAGCUGGUUGCCUAG